rnacentral:rRNA from 1 species
UACGGGGGGAGCAAGCGUUUGUUCGGAUUUACUGGGCGUAAAGGGCGCGUAGGCGGUCAGCACAAGUCAGUUGUGAAAUCUCCGGGCUUAACUCGGAAAGGUCAACUGAUACUGUGCGACUAGAGUGCAGAAGGGGCAACUGGAAUUCUCGGUGUAGCGGUGAAAUGCGUAGAUAUCGAGAGGAACACCUGGCGGCGAAGGCGGGUUGCUGGGCUGACACUGACGCUGAUGCGCGAAACGUGGGGAGCAAACAGG